AGGGGCUUAGGAUAAGCCUUAGACCAAAAGCCUUCAAAGCUUUAAGCAGGAGUGAAAAUCUCCUAGCCCCUG
rnacentral:tRNA from 1 species